rnacentral:rRNA from 1 species
CCUACGGGUGGCAGCAGUGGGGAAUAUUGCACAAUGGGGGAAACCCUGAUGCAGCAACGCCGCGUGAAGGAAGACGGUUUUCGGAUUGUAAACUUCUGUUCUUAGUGAAGAAUAAUGACGGUAGCUAAGGAGCAAGCCACGGCUAAAUACGUGCCAGCAGCCGCGGUAAUACGGAGGUGGCAAGCGUUGUCCGGAAUUACGGGGUGUAAAGGGCGCGCAGGCGGGAAGCCCAGUCAGCUGUGAAAACUACGGGCGUAACUUGUAGACUGCAGUUGCAACUGGUUUUCUUGAGUGAAGUGGGGGUUGGCGGAAUUCCGAGUGUAGCGGUGAAAUGCGGAGAUAUGCGGAGGAACACCGGUGGCGAAGGCGGCCAACUGGGCUUUAACUGACGCUGAGGCUCGAAAGUGUGGGGAGCAAACAGGAUUAGAUACCCUUGUAGUC